rnacentral:sRNA from 1 species
AUAACAAGCUCCUAGGGACAAAGGCCCGUGUGGCCGAGUCGAGAGACUACUUAGACAGCUGGCC